AUUCGAGGUGUAUCUUGAUAGUUUUUAAGGAUUUUGAUAUACUAGAUACUAAGCUGUAUAUCUGAUUGACUGACAGUUUUCUGGACGCGGGUUCGAUUCCCGCCGCCUCCACCAUCAGUACAUUAUGUACUGUAGUGUAUUUAUGAGGGGGGCGUCAUUGGUUUCGACAGGGAAAAAUAGGAAGAUUGGCAGCCGGUAGGCGAAGACCGUUAAUCUAGCAAACUCUAUAAAUGCAAAUGACGAAAGUUACGCAUUAGCCGCCUAAUAUUGGUGUUGCUAGGAGCCUGAUCCACUUGUCAACAGAACGGAUUAAAAGGGGCUUCGGCCCCUUUUUG
rnacentral:tmRNA from 1 species